AGUGAACGCUGGCGGUAGGCCUAACACAUGCAAGUCGAACGGCAGCACAGUAAGAGCUUGCUCUUACGGGUGGCGAGUGGCGGACGGGUGAGGAAUACAUCGGAAUCUACUUUUUCGUGGGGGAUAACGUAGGGAAACUUACGCUAAUACCGCAUACGACCUACGGGUGGAAGCAGGGGAUCUUCGGACCUUGCGCGAUUGAAUGAGCCGAUGUCGGAUUAGCUAGUUGGCGGGGUAAAGGCCCACCAAGGCGACGAUCCGUAGCUGGUCUGAGAGGAUGAUCAGCCACACUGGAACUGAGACACGGUCCAGACUCCUACGGGAGGCAGCAGUGGGGAAUAUUGGACAAUGGGCGCAAGCCUGAUCCAGCCAUACCGCGUGGGUGAUGAAGGCCUUCGGGUUGUAAAGCCCUUUUGUUGGGAAAGAAAAGCAGCAGGUUAAUACCCCGCUGUUCUGACGGUACCCAAAGAAUAAGCACCGGCUAACUUCGUG
rnacentral:rRNA from 1 species